GACGGAGGGUGCGAACGUUGUUCGGAAUUACUGGGCAUAAAGAGCACGUAGGCGGUUCGCUAAGUUGGGUGUGAAAGCCCCCGGCUCAACCGGGGAAUUGCUCCCGAUACUGGCGAACUAGAGAUCGGUAGGGGUGAGUGGAACUCCAGGUGGAGCGGUGAAAUGCGUAGAUAUCUGGAGGAACACCGGUGGCGAAAGCGGCUCACUGGACCGACACUGACGCUGAGGUGCGAAAGCUAGGGUAGCGAACGGG
rnacentral:rRNA from 1 species